CCAAAGGCUCUUUUCAGAGCCACCCACAACUUCGUAAAAAGGCUGU
rfam:Mesocricetus auratus contig023756, whole genome shotgun sequence.